rnacentral:hammerhead_ribozyme from 1 species
AUUCAUCUAACGAGUCCCAAAUAAGACGAAACACUUAUCCUGAAU